rnacentral:rRNA from 1 species
GAUGAACGCUGGCGGCGUGCCUAAUACAUGCAAGUCGAGCGAACGGACGAGAAGCUUGCUUCUCUGAUGUUAGCGGCGGACGGGUGAGUAACACGUGGUUAACCUACCUAUAAGACUGGGAUAAUUUCGGGAAACCGUAGCUAAUACCGGAUAAUAUUUUGAACCGCAUGGUUCAAAAGUGAAAGACGGUCUUGCUGUCACUUAUAGAUGGAUCCGCGCUGCAUUAGCUAGUUGGUAAGGUAACGGCUUACCAAGGCAACGAUGCAUAGACGACCUGAGAGGGGGAUCGGCCACACUGGAACUGAGACACGGUCCAGACUCCUACGGGAGGCAGCAGUAGGGAAUCUUCCGCAAUGGGCGAAAGCCUGACGGAGCAACGCCGCGUGAGUGAUGAAGGUCUUCGGAUCGUAAAACUCUGUUAUUAGGGAAGAACAUAUGUGUAAGUAACUGUGCACAUCUUGACGGUACCUAAUCAGAAAGCCACGGCUAACUACGUG